rnacentral:rRNA from 1 species
GACGAACGCUGGCGGCGUGCUUAACACAUGCCAGUCGAACGGAAAGGCCCUGCUUGCCGGGUGCUCGAGUGGCGAACGGGUGAGUAACACGUGGGUGAUCUGCCCCUUACUUUGGGAUAAGCCUGGGAAACUGGGUCUAAUACUGGAUAGGACCAUGCUGUAGGUGGUGUGGUGGAAAGAUUAGUUUCGUUAAGGGAUGAGCUCGCGGCCUAUCAGCUUGUUGGUGGGGUAAUGGCCUACCAAGGCGUCGACGGGUAGCCGGCCUGAGAGGGUGGGAGGCCACAUUGGGACGGAGAUACGGAGCAGACGCCUACGGGAGGCAGCAGUGGGGAAGAGUGCAAAAUGGGCGCAAGCCUGAUGGAGCGACGCCGCGUGGGGGAUGAAGGCCUUCGGGUUGUAAACUCCUUGCAGCCAUGACGAAGCCCUUGUGGUGACGGUAGUGGUAGAAGAAGCACCGGCUAACUACGUG